CUACGGGUGGCACCAGUGAGGAAUAUUGCACAAUGGGGGGAACCCUGAUGCAGCAACGCCGCGUGGAGGAUGACGCAUUUCGGUGUGUAAACUCCUUUUAUAUGUCAAGAAAAUGACGGUAGCAUAUGAAUAAGCACCGGCUAACUCCGUGCCAGCAGCCGCGGUAAUACGGAGGGUGCAAGCGUUACUCGGAAUCACUGGGCGUAAAGGAAGCGUAGGCGGGUUGGAAAGUCAGGUGUGAAAUCCUACAGAUUAACUGUAGAACUGCACUUGAAACUUCUAAUCUAGAGUAUGGGAGGGGGAGAUGGAAUUAGUGGUGUAGGGGUAAAAUCCGUAGAUAUCACUAGGAAUACCUAAAGCGAAGGCGAUCUCCUGGAACAUUACUGACGCUAAGGCGUGAAAGCGUGGGGAGCAAACAGGAUUAGAUACCCGAGUAGUC
rnacentral:rRNA from 1 species